rnacentral:misc_RNA from 1 species
AAGGAGUCUAACAUGCUUGCGAGUAUUUGGGUGUAAAACCCGAUUGCGUAAUGAAAGUGAAUGGAGGUGGGAAGCGCAAGCUGCACCAUCGACCGCUCUGGAUUUUCUUUGAUGGAUUUGAGUAAGAGCACGUAUGUUGGGACCCGAAAGAUGGUGAACUAUGCCUGAAUAGGGCGAAGCCAGAGGAAACUCUGGUGGAGGCUCGUAGCGGUGCUGACGUGCAAAUCGAUCGUCAAAUUUGGGUAUAGGGGCGAAAGACUAAUCGAACCAUCUAGUAGCUGGUUCCUGC